UCGUACGAGAGGCAGCAGUGGGGAAUUUUGGACAAUGGGCGCAAGCCUGAUCCAGCAAUGCCGCGUGAGUGAAGAAGGCUUCGGGUUGUAAAGCUCUUUUGUCAUGGAAGAAACGGCUGUGGCUAAUAUCCACGGCUAAUGACUGUAC
rnacentral:rRNA from 1 species